GUGAAUCAUCGAAUCUUUGAACGCACAUUGCGCCUCUCGGUAUUCCGGGAGGCACGCCUGUUCGAGCGCCAUUACACACUCCAAGCGAACGCUUGAUGUUGGACGAUGUGAUUCUCCGUUGGGGGGGUCGCACGUCUGGAACGCAUGGGCGCCCACCGCCGGAGCGCGAACGUAGCAAGACACUUAGUCAAUUCGUUCUGCGUGUUCCGACGGAAGGUGGCCUCAUAACUUUACUGUUUAAGAACGUUUGGCCUCGGAUCAGGCGGGGAUACCCGCUGAACUUAAGCAUAUCAAUAAGCGGAGGA
rnacentral:misc_RNA from 1 species